AGGGGUGCGGCGAGGGAGUCUGGAGGGUUUGUUUUGGUUUCCUCCUGUGCUCGCUGAGACGGCACACCUCGAGAACUAUGGCGGAAGGAGAUAAUCGCAGCACCAAUCUGCUGGCUGCAGAGACUGCAAGUCUGGAAGAGCAGCUGCAAGGAUGGGGAGAAGUGAUGCUGAUGGCAGAUAAAAUCCUCCGAUGGGAAAGAGCCUGGUUUCCACCUGCCAUCAUGGGUGUGGUUUCUUUGGUGUUUCUGACUAUCUACUGUCUAGAUCCAUCUGUUCUAUCUGGUGUUUCCUGUUUUGUUAUGUUUUUGUGCUUGGCUGACUACCUUGUUCCCAUUCUAGCACCUAGAAUUUUUGGCUCCAAUAAAUGGACCACCGAGCAACAGCAAAGAUUCCAUGAAAUUUGCAGCAAUCUAGUGAAAACUCGACGCAGAGCUGUGGGCUGGUGGAAACGCCUCUUUACACUAAAGGAAGAAAAGCCUAAAAUGUACUUCAUGACCAUGAUCAUUUCUCUUGCUGCGGUUGCUUGGGUGGGACAGCAAGUCCACAACCUCCUUCUCACCUACCUGAUAGUGACUUUCUUACUUUUGCUUCCUGGAUUGAACCAACAUGGGAUCAUUUCGAAAUACAUUGGAAUGGCCAAAAGAGAGAUGAACAAGCUUCUCAAACAAAAAGAAAAGAAAAAUGAAUAAAGCAUUCGCUUUAUUCGGUGUGAUUAAUGGAGUAUACACUGUCCUUGGGAACAGUGUCUGUUAUGCUGUUUGGAUACUAAAAUGUUGCAGAAGUAGCUCUCUGCUGUCCCUCACUCUGCCCUUAGUACAAAUUCUGACUUGCUAAGCAAGGCUUUAUGCCCAGUGUCUUCAUGGGUGUGUUUUUAGCAGCUGCCCUUAUAUGGACAACUCUUUCUUCAGUUCCUCAUCUUGUUUUGUUGUCACCCAGGGUUAACUAAACUCUU